UUUGUUGAGAAUUUUUAUCAUGAAGGCAGGCUGAAUUUCAUUAAAAGCUUUUUUAGCAUCAGUGAAAAUGAUUUUAUGAUCACUGCCAUCCACAUUGUUAAUUGGACAAGCUGAAGCAACACCUCUGUUUAAAGGUCAGAAAUUCCCUCACGUGUAGCAGGUGAUGCUAACCUUCAACGUUCUCACCCUUGAGUAACAAUGCGAGCUUUGCCAUACUUCAAGGUGGAAGCUGCCUGGAACAACUGCUGGAAUGAGGCUCCAGAG